GACGAACGCUGGCGGCGUGCUUAACACAUGCAAGUCGAACGGAAAGGCCCUGCUUUUGUGGGGUGCUCGAGUGGCGAACGGGUGAGUAACACGUGAGUAACCUGCCCUUGACUUUGGGAUAACUUCAGGAAACUGGGGCUAAUACCGGAUAGGAGCUCCUGCUGCAUGGUGGGGGUUGGAAAGUUUCGGCGGUUGGGGAUGGACUCGCGGCUUAUCAGCUUGUUGGUGGGGUAGUGGCUUACCAAGGCUUUGACGGGUAGCCGGCCUGAGCGGGUGACCGGCCACAUUGGGACUGAGAUACGGCCCAGACUCCUACGGGAGGCAGCAGUGGGGAAUAUUGCACAAUGGGCGGAAGCCUGAUGCAGCAACGCUGCGUGCGGGAUGACGGCCUUCGGGUUGUAAACCGCUUUCGCCUGUGACGAAGCGGGAGUGACGGUAAUGGGUAAAGAAGCACCGGCUAACUACGUG
rnacentral:rRNA from 1 species